GGUGUCAGAAAAGUUACCACAGGGAUAACUGGCUUGUGGCAGCCAAGCGAACAUAGCGACGUUGCUUUUUGAUCCUUCGAUGUCGGCUCUUCCUAUCAUUGUGAAGCAAAAUUCACCAUGUGUUGGAUUGUUCACCCAUCAAUAGGGAACGUGAGCUGGGUUUAGACCGUCGCGAGACAGGUUAGUUUUACCCUACUGAUGAAUAGUAUUGCGACAGUAGACUAAUUUAGUACGAGAGGAACCGUUGGUCCAGAUAAUUGGUAAAUACGGUUAGCUGACCAGCUAAUGCCGUGAAGCUACCAUCUGUUGGAUUAUGACUGAACGCCUCUAAGUCAGAAUCCAUGCUGGAAAGCAAUGCAACAGUCAAUAAUAAACGAAAACAAAUAGGGAAACCAAAUUCAUCUUCGGAACACAAAGGCAGAGCAAAUCUGCUGGCGGACUCCGAUUCAUAAUUUCGAUUAUUAUUGUUCCAAAUCACUUGCAGACGACUUGAAAUAGACAUGGGU
rnacentral:rRNA from 1 species